rnacentral:rRNA from 1 species
UAUCUCUGUAGAGUCUGCAUAUCAAUAAGCGGAGGAAAAGAAACUAACAAGGAUUCCCUAGUAACGGCGAGUGAAGCGGGAAGAGCUCAAAUUUGAAAUCUUCAAGGUUCUACCUUGACGAAUUGUAGUUUAAAGAAGUGUUUUCUGUUAGAUGAGUAGUAAAAGUUCCUUGGAAUAGGACAUCAUAGAGGGUGAGAAUCCCGUAUUUGACUAUUCAUUUCUAGCUUUGUGAUACACUUUCAAAGAGUCGGAUUGUUUGGGAAUGCAGUCCAAAAUGGGUGGUAAAUUUCAUCUAAAGCUAAAUAUUGGCGAGAGACCGAUAGCGAACAAGUACCGUGAGGGAAAGAUGAAAAGAACUUUGAAAAGAGAGUUAAACAGUACGUGAAAUUGUCAAAAGGGAAGCGUUUGACACCAGUGUUGUUUUUCCGAAAAUCAAUUAAGAAUGGUGAUUCUGCAUGUUGUAUUGACCUUAUCAGCUUUGCAAUUUGUUUUGAGUCUCUUUUGAAUGCACUUUUCGGUUAACAAGUCAACAUCAAUUUCCUUUGCUGUAAAAGAGUAUAGGAAGGUGGCUUCAUUUUCGGCUGAAAGUGUUUAUAGCCUUAUAUCUCUACAAUCGGAGAGAUUGAGGUCUGCAGCGUAGAUCCUUCGGGGCUAGAUACAUUUAUGCUAAGUUAUAGCUUUUCAUAGACAACUUGUUGACUAUGUUUAGUCAUGUAGCUUACUCGUAAGUGCUAUUUUACCUACGCUUAGGAUGUUGAAGACUCUACAGAGAU